rnacentral:misc_RNA from 1 species
AAAAAAAAGAAGAAAAAAAAGGAGAAAUCCUAAAGCAACACGCCAGUCGCCAAUGAAUGUAUGACGGCAAACGCCGAACUAUAACACGCCUGUGUAUACUAAUAAGUCCAAAAAUGGGCAAACAUACGUCAAAUUCACCUCACAAUUGAAUUGAACUGCAGUCUCAAAUAAUGUACAAUCCAAUUCAAUGAACCAGAGGCAUUUGUUGAAGCAUAGAACAUACGUAACUCUUUAUCGCUUUAGGCUAAUGUUUAUAAUUUCAUCAUCAUUUUUUGAGAGGAGGAGCUUCAGAUUGUCUAUGUGCUCAAUUACUCAUAUACGUUUUGAAAUAACUUAAUUGUUCUUAUUAUCUUCAAUUUAAUUUCUAUUGGCCAUGGUUUCGUUGAGCAACAUAGUAAAGGUGCCUAGGGCUUCCAUGGUCACAGCAAGGGUAAUAAAACUUCCCACCGUCUUUCCUUCCGCCGACUGGAUAUCCCAAAGCCGGAGAACAACACCUAGCAGCAGCCGCUGCAGCAUACGACGGAGGUGAAUAGAAACAUCUGAGCUUUUCCGGCUUCAUUCUCGAUGCCGGAAAGUCAAAACACGACAUCGGAGAUGACGGAGGAGAAACUUUUUUCACCGAAUUGAGAGGAAAUAAAACAGCUCUAAUCUUCAUCUCCUGAUUCGUCAACGCAGAAACUCGAUCGUACUCUUGAAUCACAUUCAUCAGAUCCUCAUCACAAGUAAUUGAAACUAAAACAUCCAAAUCCUCAGUCGGCAACUUACACUUCAAACUCAUAGACGAUCCACACGAUUCUCCAAACUUCACCAUCAACUCUGAAAACGAGAUAGGCUUUUCAACGGAGAGAACUCUGGUAAAACCACCGAUAUACCGAAGCUUUCCAUCCGAACGACGGGGAACGAUUCUCCCACCGUAACUAUACAGAAAUUUGAUCACUUGUGUACCGUUGAUAGAGUUCAACAUGCUUUGAAUGGGGUAGUACGAUGUAAGAAAUUAAAAAGGUAUUUUGCAGUUGAAAAGGCGAGAAGAAAGGGGCAGAAAGAGUUCCUUCUAGAAAAAGAGAAGAUGCUGUGAGAUUUUG